GCAAGUCGAGCGGUAACGCACAUUCGCUUGCUACUUAGCUGACGAGCGGCGAACGGGUGAGUAGUGCUUGGCAAUGUGCCUUGUGGUGGGGGACAACUGUUGGAACCAACUGCUAAUAUCACCUCAUGUCUACGGACCGGGGAUGGGGACCUUCAGGGCUCACGCCAGAAGAUUAGCCCAUGUGGGAUUAGCUAGUUGGUGAGGUAAUGGCUUACCAAGGACACGAUCCCUACCUGGUUUGAGAAGAUGAUCCGCCGCACUGGAACUGAGACCCGGACCCCACUCCUACGGGAGGCAGCAGAGGGGAAUAUUGCACAAUGGGCGAGACCUGAUGCCCCAUGCCACGUGUGUGACCUUGCCUUCGGGUUGUCUUUCCUUUCGAAAGAAAAAGGGAAGUCUUUAAUAGAGGCUAUCUGUGACGCUACUUACACAGCAAGCACCGGCUACUCCGUGCCGAGCCCGCGGUGAAUUACAGUGUGCGAGCGUUUCCAGAAUUACUGUCCCUUCCUCGUACGCAACCUGUUUGUUAACCCAGAUGUUGAACCCCCGGCCUCCACCUGGGAACUGCGUUUCGAACUGUGAAAUUCCUGUGUGAUAGAGGGUGGUAGAAUUUCUCGUGUAGCGCUGAAAUGCGUAAGAUCUGAACGAAUACCGAUGUGAAGCUGACCACCUGAGGCAUACACUGACGCUCAUGUACAAAUAGCGUGGGGAGCAAAGCCGAUUACAUACCCUGGCUAUCCACGCCUUUCCCUAUGUCAAUCAAUGCUCGGCCCACGAUUCUGCUCUCCACCCUAACACUUCAGCUACACCGCUGGGACUAAGACUCGACGGUAGACCUCACAUGAGUUGACACGGGCCGCUCAAUCGAUGGAGCAUGUGGAUUAUACCAGGCUUCGCAAAAACCCUACACACCCCUUACAACCGCCCACCUUCCGCAGACAUCUGGGGCCCCCGGGAAUC
rnacentral:rRNA from 1 species